rnacentral:rRNA from 1 species
GACGUAGGGGGCCAGCGUUGUUCGGAAUCACUGGGCGUAAAGCGCACGUAGGCGGAUUGCUAAGUCAGGGGUGAAAUCCUGGAGCUCAACUCCAGAACUGCCUUUGAUACUGAGGAUCUUGAGUCCGGGAGAGGUGAGUGGAACUGCGAGUGUAGAGGUGAAAUUCGUAGAUAUUCGCAAGAACACCAGUGGCGAAGGCGACUACCUGGCCUGUUCUUGACGCUGAGGCGCGAAAGCUAGGGAGCAAACGGG